UACGUAGGGCGCAAGCGUUGUCCGGAAUUAUUGGGCGUAAAGGGUGUGUAGGCGGUUCUCUAAGUUUGGUGUGAAAUCUCCCGGCUCAACCGGGAGGGUGCGCCGAAAACUGGAGGGCUAGAGUGCGGGAAGGGAGAGUAGAAUUCCUGGUGUAGCGGUGAAAUGCGUAGAUAUCAGGAGGAAUACCGGUGGUGUAGACGGCUCUCUGGACCGCGACUGACGCUGAGACACGAAAGCGUGGGUAGCAAACAGG
rnacentral:rRNA from 1 species